AACAAUACAAAAACCAGAAGUUAGCAGAGCAGCAACAAGAAGAAGAGAACUGCAGACGACGUCUUGCAGAGAUCCAAGAGGAAUUAGAUGAACAAAACAAACGGAACUGGAAGCGAAUAAAAUAUCGCGAAAUGGAAUGGUUGAAGAAAAUUCAAGAACUGCAAGAGAAAAAACUAUUGAAAGAAAAUGAAGAAACUGAAAGGCUCUUAAGACUGGAAAUUCUACGAGAAAAAGUAACUCAUUAUUAUUAUUAUUAUUAUUAUUAUUAUUAUUAUUAUUAUU
rnacentral:lncRNA from 1 species